GCGGGAAUGCCGGAGUGGUCAAACGGAAUUGGCUUAGGACCAAUUAGCUUAGUGCUUGCACAGGUUCGAAUCCUGUUUCCCGCA
rnacentral:tRNA from 1 species